rnacentral:lncRNA from 1 species
UGAUUUUCACUUCAGUUAGAAGUACUUCACUGCACGAUGCAUGGAAUAAAACUCACUGCAUAGAAGACAGCCGAAAAUUCACCAUGAAAGUUCUUGAGGGAUGAUAAAAAGUAACGAAUGCUUUCCCCAUCUUAUCACGUUGAAAGUCGUUGCAUACUUCGCGAAACGUGUAGAGGUUAGGUUUUUGUUUGGAAACAAAAGCUCAAAGCGUCACGGCCAUUUUGAAAGUCUGCUCCGAGGAGGUCAUUGUCUGCAGAAAGUAAACAUCGGAAGUUGACGGAAGUCACGACGACAGUUUCGUUUUCGGUCCAGUAUUUUUUGUGAAAUUUCGCGAACGCGAGUCACAUACGUGUCCAGCUGCUUCUUACUACAGACAUAUUUCCCCUCUCUCUCUAUUUUGAGAAGUUUUUGAAAGUUCAAUCAGGGCCACCUACUCUCUCUCUGAAUGGAAUAUGCAGAAUGUCAACGGGCAAAAAUCCGGAGUUAUUCCAAGGAAUAAUGUUACUAUGAGGGAUUCUUCACAUAUCCCUGUGUCCCAACAUGAUGAUUUAAUUCAAUUUAUGUUUGAUUCAUGGAACAAGGUUUUUUGUGAGCAACAAGCGAAUGGCCAAGAACGAAUCAAUGUCUCUUACUAUAGUGAGGAUGAAGUGAAUUCUCAAUUGAAAGAUUUUAUUCCUGUGGACCUGGAGGCUUUGAAAAAUCGGCAAAUAAUUCACCACAACCUUUCUCAACACGCCUAACAUUCCAAAAUGCAUAGGUUAAUUUUAUCACCUUUGACUCUCUGACCAGUAUUACCUCGUACAGUUUUGUAUAUUUUGAUAAUGUAAUGUAAAUACAUAAAAUUUUAUUUUUUCACCUCAAAAAUGCUCGGUGGAUAUUCUGCCGUAACUUAAUGGAAUAAUUAAGUUGAAAAUGUUUAAACGUAUUUCAAUACAUGCAAUUGCAGAUCCAAGUGAAGUGUUAUUUUUCCCCCUCUUUUUCCUCCGCCCCCCCCCCCACGAUCAUAAUAUGACUUUCUGGGCAAUGUAUCCGCACUAAGUAUUUGCACUCUUUCCAAACUAUGGUUCAAGCAAGUUAAAUGAAAAAUGGUAGAAAAUAGGCUUGGAAAAAAAUCCUGGGAUUCACCCAGACCGUAGCCAAGGAGGGACAAUUGCCAUUAUUCUUAUACGUAGUGUAAAUACAUAAAAUUUUAUUUUUUCACCUCAAAAAUGCUCGGUGGAUAUUCUGCCGUAACUUAAUGGAAUAAUUAAGUUGAAAAUGUUUAAAAGUAUUUCAAUACAUGCAAUUGCAGAUCCAAGUGAAGUGUUAUUUUUCCCCCUCUUUUUCCUCCGCCCCCCCCCACGAUCAUAAUAUGACUUUCUGGGCAAUGUAUCCGCACUAAGUAUUUGCACUCUUUCCAAGCUAUGGUUCAAGCAAGUUAAAUGAAAAAUGGUAGAAAAUAGGCUUGGAAAAAAAUCCUGGGAUUCACCCAGACCGUAGCCAAGGAGGGA